GACGAACGCUGGCGGCGUGCUUAACACAUGCAAGUCGAACGGAAAGGCCCUGCUUUUGUGGGGUGCUCGAGUGGCGAACGGGUGAGUAACACGUGAGUAACCUGCCUUUGACUUUGGGAUAACUUCAGGAAACUGGGGCUAAUACCGGAUAGGAGCUCCUGCUGCAUGGUGGGGGUUGGAAAUUUUCGGCGGUUGGGGAUGGACUCGCGGCUUACCAGUUUGUUGGUGGGGUAGUGGCUUACCAAGGCUUUGACGGGUAGCCGGCCUGAGAGGGUGACCGGCCACAUUGGGACUGAGAUACGGCCCAGACUCCUACGGGAGGCAGCAGUGGGGAAUAUUGCACAAUGGGCGGAAGUCUGAUGCAGCAACGCCGCGUGCGGGAUGAAGGCCUUCGGGUUGUAAACCGCUUUCGCCUGUGACGAAGCGUGAGUGACGGUAAUGGGUAAAGAAGCACCGGCUAACUACGUG
rnacentral:rRNA from 1 species